rnacentral:lncRNA from 1 species
GUAUCUGUCUAUAUAUCAUAUUACAAUGGGAUACCGUUUUGUGCUUUUCUGACCAGUUAAUUACCGUAUCACAGUCCAAUCUUUUUGUCCAUUUGUCUCUUCCGACGAUAUUCCUUCUUCCUUUAUUUUGCCCGCACAUUGGGAUUUACAGCUUGAACAUCCUACUUUUUAUUACUCCCUCUCUUAUACAUACAAAUGAAGUUUCUGUCCAUAGCAUAUCGGAUGUCUCAGUUCAGGGGUAGAUCCAGAAGAAAUUAUUAGUGAGGACUGAAUCAUUCUUCUUCAAUAUUUAGAAAGAAUUUUAACCCCUCUUUCUAUAAACAUAUAGCAGAAAAUUUAGUAGGGGCUUACACAUGUCUAUAUAGUAUUAUUAGAACCGGUAACGGAGGCUAGCCCCCACAGCAGAUUUAACAUUGUGUAAGCCUAAGAUGUCUCAAUAGUUGCACUUAGCAUUGGAUGAGCCAGGGUGACGAUUGAUCUUAAUGUGCGUUAAUGUCUCCUGCUGCCUCCCAUGCCCGGCCGAUCAUAUCAAUC